AGGGGAAGAAGCCUUCGUCGCCACUGGGGGAGGCGCCCCCCGAGAGCAGCCCCGACGGGAAGCUUGGCCCUUCCGGGGAGCUCAUGGUGCCUUCGGCAUCUGUGGGCACAGGUGUCCAAGCCCAGCCCUACCGCGGAACCCAGUAGUCGCCGUCGUCCCAGCGCAGCGACGACCGGGGACCGGGAGUCUCCGUGACGAGGCCCCUGUGGGCGCGACCCCGCUCUGGAGACCCGGGAGCGUCCCUCCUCCUCCCGCCUCCGCGCAUCGAGCUGCUGUCUAGCACGUCGGCCCGGGCGUGUGGGCCGCCCCCCCCCCCCCGCUCCUCGACACCCCGGCCCGAGACGGCCACCUUCCCCCCUUGCCGGCGCCCCCCGCUUGCCGACCCCAGGACUCGGCACCCGCCACCCCCGGCGCCCGUUCGUCCUGGCCCUGUCCUGCCCGAAACUCGAAGGGCGCCCGUGUCCGGCGCCCCUAGGCUCCUACCCGCCGACUCCGGGCUCCCUCCGAGGUCCCCGCGGUCCCCGAUCCCCUCUUCCGGAGGCGGCGCCAGGUGCCAGGCCCGCACAGAAACGACAGGCCCCAUUAGUGGAGCACCUGCUGUAUGCAGACCCCACGCUGAGCAUGGGCGUCCGCUCCUUUCCCCUGACAAACCGCCCUGUGGGAUAGGGAAUCGCUAAGAAUGACAACAGCAAGGACACAUCUGACCUACCGAGCACUCUGCUAAGUAAGCUCUUUUAUAGGCACAGCUUGCUUACUUUUAUGACACCCUAACGAGGCACGAACUCCCAUUAGCCCUCUUUUACAGACGAGGAAACUGAGGCUGAGGGAUGCUGUAGCUUGCUUGGGUUCACACCGACAGAACUUGAAUGUGAACCACAGAAGUGUGACUUCAGGGCGGGUGCUCCUGCCCUGGUUCCCGUGGGGCUGGGAACCUGGGGCUCUCCCUUUCGAGGUUGCACGAGACUCGACCCCACGCUCCAGGCCAGGGCCAGAGGCCUCGGUAUGGACACCAGGAGGAUCCAGGGCCGGGCCCAGCCCAGUGCAGCCCGGACAUGUGGGGGACGCCCCGGCCACGGCCUCGUGUCCGGUCACGAGCCUCCUCAGGUGUCCGGGGCUCCCUGCGCCGCUGUGGCGGAGGCUCCGGGCCUGGGGAGCGGGGACACGCCGGGCGCUGGAAGAGCAGUGGGCUGGGAACUGCUCAACAGCAGGCUUUCUGGGGAAACAGAAAGCCCCAGAUGGUUGCACGUGGCACUUUCUGGGGUAGAAGCGCUCCCUCCGUGGCUGAUGUCCCGCUACCGACGUGACAUUGUUGAAUGUGAAGUUGGGCCGAGAUGUGCAUUAUUGGCGUUUAUCAGCUGGUCCCAGCUGCGUCCCACGCCCCUCUGGCUGGCGGCCAGGACUCCUGGGUCCUGGGGACCGGAUCCUAAAGAAAUCAGAGGAAGGUGGCUUCUGGGAAAACGGGGGCAAGGACUCGUGGGAGGCGUGGCCUAGAGGCUGGGACUCCCGAGUCCCAGAUUUGGCUUCAGGCCAAAUCCCAGAUUGGCCACAUUUUAGCUGUGCGCACCUGUGUCGUAUAGCUGAUGAACCUCUGCUGCCCUCGCCUUUCCCAUCUGUAAAACGGGGGAGAUAAGAGUUCCUAGCUUAUGGGGAGGCUUAAAUAAGGGUCAAGCGCCAGCACUUCAUCCUGCUAGGGGCCCUCUGAGUGGCCGUAGCCGGGCCGUAGAAGUGACUCACCACACACGUUCCAGUGUUUUCCUCCUCACGGCCACCCUGACGUUAUAUCCUUCGCACGCCAGAAGCCAGCUCAGGGAGGCCCAGUGGUCUGCCCGUGCAACUUGACAUCAUCAGACUUUUAAAUUUCUGCCAGUCGGGGGGCACCUGGUCACUCUUGGGACGUUUGCAGGAGCCCCCUGCUUCCUCUGGACCCACGAAUUCUGGCCUCCAGCUGUCCUGAUGGGCCAGAGGGCUGACUUCACAGGCCACCCGCUGCCCUCGCCCAGCCUCCCUGCUGAUUCCAGCAGGAAAAUGGAUAGCAGGGACAGAGGGGCCCCAGGGACGCCCUAGCCGGGCUGGGAUGUAACCAGUUAAGGGAGGGAAAGACAACCCAGCCCUCAAACAAGCCAGUUUCCUGGAGCCUCCGGGCUCACUCUCACCCUAGAACUUUCUCCCCACCUUCCCAACAGCAGGUGGGCCCCUACAGCGCCCAAUCCUGGCUCCAGGGUCCCCUCGCAGAGCUGUGGGCGGUCCACGCUGGCGUCCAGAGGCCCGAAGAAUGCCCCCUGCCAUAGCGGUAACCCCGUGGGAACGCCGCGGAUCCAGACCAAGGUGCCUCCGGGCUUUUACGACAUAUACAAAGCCUGUGAACAGUAAGUGGUAUUGUUUGGAGCAUUUUAAACCUCUGUGUAAAAUACUGCACACUCAAUA